UACGAAGGGGCUAGCGUUGCUCGGAAUCACUGGGCGUAAAGGGUGCGUAGGCGGGUCUUUAAGUCAGGGGUGAAAUCCUGGAGCUCAACUCCAGAACUGCCUUUGAUACUGAAGAUCUUGAGUUCGGGAGAGGUGAGUGGAACUGCGAGUGUAGAGGUGAAAUUCGUAGAUAUUCGCAAGAACACCAGUGGCGAAGGCGGCUUUCUGGCCUGUUCUUGACGCUGAGGCGCGAAGGCCAGGGGAGCAAAGCGGG
rnacentral:rRNA from 1 species